rnacentral:lncRNA from 1 species
UAAAGAUUUUUCAUUUUAGCGCUUAUUAACCUUUACUUUACGAGAUAUGACUUCGAUUACACCUUGUUGGCUCCUGCGGACAUAAAUAAAAAUAAAAUACGUAGGGAUUCUGCUGCUUUUGCCAUUAAAUAUCACUAUUUUGGAAUAAAACCAUUAGCUGUACAGGAAACGCAGUUAAUACAAUUUGUCAGUGAUGAUCAAUUUAACAGACCUACACGACGAACCGUCCUCGAUAUGG